rnacentral:piRNA from 1 species
UAUGGACCAUGGUUUUGGUCUUGCCAGA